rnacentral:rRNA from 1 species
AUUGAACGCUGGCGGCAUGCCUUACACAUGCAAGUCGAACGGUAACAGGUCUUCGGAUGCUGACGAGUGGCGAACGGGUGAGUAAUACAUCGGAACGUGCCUAGUAGUGGGGGAUAACUACUCGAAAGAGUGGCUAAUACCGCAUGAGAUCUACGGAUGAAAGCAGGGGAUCGCACGACCUUGUGCUACUAGAGCGGCCGAUGGCAGAUUAGGUAGUUGGUGGGAUAAAAGCUUACCAAGCCGACGAUCUGUAGCUGGUCUGAGAGGACGAUCAGCCACACUGGGACUGAGACACGGCCCAGACUCCUACGGGAGGCAGCAGUGGGGAAUUUUGGACAAUGGGCGAAAGCCUGAUCCAGCAAUGCCGCGUGCAGGAUGAAGGCCUUCGGGUUGUAAACUGCUUUUGUACGGAACGAAAAGCUCUGGGUUAAUACCCUGGGGUCAUGACGGUACCGUAAGAAUAAGCACCGGCUAACUACGUGCCAGCCGCCGCUGUAACAC